rnacentral:rRNA from 1 species
UACGUAGGGUGCGAGCGUUAAUCGGAAUUACUGGGCGUAAAGCGUGCGCAGGCGGUUGGUCAAGUCCGAGGUGAAAUCUCCCGGCCUAACUGGGAGGGGUCUUCGGAUACUGGCGGACUUGAGGAGAGCAGAGGUGAGCGGAAUUCUCGGUGUAGUGGUGAAAUGCGUAGAUAUCGAGAGGAACACCAGCGGCGAAGGCGGCUCACUGGGCUCCACCUGACGCUGAGGCGCGAAAGCGUGGGGAGCAAACCGG